UACGUAGGGACCGAGCGUUGUCCGGAAUCAUUGGGCGUAAAGAGCGUGUAGGCGGCCACUUAAGUCCUGCGUGAAAUCUUGCGGCUCAACCGCAAGCGGUCGUGGGAAACUGGGUGGCUAGAGUGCGGGAGAGGAGAGUGGAAUUCCUGGUGUAGCGGUGGAAUGCGCAGAUAUCAGGAGGAACACCGGUGGCGAAGGCGGCUCUCUGGGACGGUACUGACGCUGAGACGCGAAAGCGUGGGGAGCGAACAGG
rnacentral:rRNA from 1 species